rnacentral:rRNA from 1 species
UACGUAGGGGGCAAGCGUUGUCCGGAAUCAUUGGGCGUAAAGAGCGCGUAGGCGGUCCGGUAAGUCGGUUGUGAAAACUGGGGGCUCAACCCUCAGAGGCCGACCGAUACUGUCGGGCUAGAGUCCGGAAGAGGCGAGUGGAAUUCCUGGUGUAGCGGUGAAAUGCGUAGAUAUUGGGAGGAACACCAGUGGCGAAGGCGGCUACCUGGACCGGUUCUGACGCUGAUGCGCGAAAGCGUGGGUAGCAAACAGG